UUUAUGGAGAGUUUGAUCCUGGCUCAGGAUGAACGCUGGCGGCGUGCCUAAUACAUGCAAGUCGAGCGAACGGACGAGAAGCUUGCUUCUCUGAUGUUAGCGGCGGACGGGUGAGUAACACGUGGAUAACCUACCUAUAAGACUGGGAUAACUUCGGGAAACCGGAGCUAAUACCGGAUAAUAUUUUGAACCGCAUGGUUCAAAAGUGAAAGACGGUCUUGCUGUCACUUAUAGAUGGAUCCGCGCUGCAUUAGCUAGUUGGUAAGGUAACGGCUUACCAAGGCAACGAUGCAUAGCCGACCUGAGAGGGUGAUCGGCCACACUGGAACUGAGACACGGUCCAGACUCCUACGGGAGGCAGCAGUAGGGAAUCUUCCGCAAUGGGCGAAAGCCUGACGGAGCAACGCCGCGUGAGUGAUGAAGGUCUUCGGAUCGUAAAACUCUGUUAUUAGGGAAGAACAUAUGUGUAAGUAACUGUGCACAUCUUGACGGUACCUAAUCAGAAAGCCACGGCUAACUACGUGCCAGCAGCCGCGGUAAUACGUAGGUGGCAAGCGUUAUCCGGAAUUAUUGGGCGUAAAGCGCGCGUAGGCGGUUUUUUAAGUCUGAUGUGAAAGCCCACGGCUCAACCGUGGAGGGUCAUUGGAAACUGGAAAACUUGAGUGCAGAAGAGGAAAGUGGAAUUCCAUGUGUAGCGGUGAAAUGCGCAGAGAUAUGGAGGAACACCAGUGGCGAAGGCGACUUUCUGGUCUG
rnacentral:rRNA from 1 species